CCUACGGGAUGCACCAGUGGGGAAUAUUGGACAAUGGGCGAAAGCCUGAUCCAGCAAUGCCGCGUGUGUGAAGAAGGUCUUCGGAUUGUAAAGCACUUUCGACGGGGACGAUGAUGACGGUACCCGUAGAAGAAGCCCCGGCUAACUUCGUGCCAGCAGCCGCGGUAAUACGAAGGGGGCUAGCGUUGCUCGGAAUGACUGGGCGUAAAGGGCGCGUAGGCGGUUUAUGCAGUCAGAUGUGAAAUCCCCGGGCGUAACCUGGGAAUUGCAUUUGAGACGCAUAGACUAGAGGUCGAGAGAGGGUUGUGGAAUUCCCAGUGUGGAGGUGAAAUUCGUAGAUAUUGGGAGGAACACCGGUGGCGAAGGCGGCAACCUGGCUCGAUACUGACGCUGAGGCGCGAAAGCGUGGGGAGCAAACAGGAUUAGAUACCCCAGUAGUC
rnacentral:rRNA from 1 species